CCCUGGUCCCCGUCCUGGCCUUCUCACCUCGGGGCUGGGGCCAAGGCGGGAGCUCACAGCCCGCACUGGGUCUAACCGGUCUCCAAUGCCGCUGCCGGAGGGAGAGGGGCCGCAACCGGUUACGCUGGCACCCGCCCCAAGCUCGGUGACCCGCUCUGUCCCGCCCCGCGCCGCUCGGGAGCGAGGAGCGCUUUGGAAGGCGGGCGGCAUGGAAGGCCGGGAUCAGACUGCAGAGAAGGUGCUCGUGGCCCCGGAGGGGAACGGCGUUAGGGGACCACGAGCUGGAACCCCCUUCAUUCCACCCCUUCCCCCAGGUGGCCUUCCCGAAAGGGAGCUGCUCUUUGGGGAGGCUGAAAUAAUGAGGGGAAUGCCUCUGGACACUUCCAUCCCAUUCCAUCUCUUCAGCGACACAGUGCCCCUCGGGGGAAGCAUUUCUACACAGCUCCCCUGGGUGGCUGCCCGUGGGGUCUCUUAGCAAACAAAUCUCCCUCUUCCCACACCACUGGGUGAGAAGAAUCUCCAAACUGACUCAGGGACUUGGCGUUCUUCUCCUUACCUUGAGCUGGCCAGCCAGACCUCCAAAUCGGACCCAAGACUGCUGGGUCACAGUGUGACAUACUGACUGAAGUUAAGUAAGAGAAACAACCUCCAGGAGAUGAGGACUGCGGGACAAUGGGAUAGGAAGCAAAAGGAACUCUUGAGUGGUUUCCCCACCCCCGCCCCCUCUCCACCUCUUCCCCCACCCUCUGGCCACCUUAGACUCUCUCCCUAGGUAGGAGCCUAGGAACUGAGUGGGUGACAGGACUUUCAAUGGCAUCCCAAGAACUCCAAUCAACAAAAGUUUAUUGAGCACCUGCUGCAUGCUGGGCCUUGAGGCAAGACUGCCUCACUAGGCAACCAAGGUCCUGUUACUUUAAGGUAAAUCCUGAGUCUGGAAGACAAACGGUCUGGGUUAAAAUCUUGCCUCUCAAAUACAUUGUCAUUUUUGCCUGUGUAA